GCAGAAUUGGCCCCCGAGCCCCUCAGCACAGCCGCGGUGUGACUGGUGCACAGGACACUUCCCCUCUAGAGUCCCCUCCGUGGUCAGCUGUUGUGACAUUUGAAUUCUCCAGCUGUGCAAGUUCAUUCGCAAACGUCCUAGAAGUGGAACUGCUGGGUCAAAGUGCAUUCCCCAAAUGUCCUGCCAGAGGCCUGGUCGGCAGCAGCCUCCUGCACAGCCCGAGUCCCUUCUGCGAGAGUCCGGGCUUGUUUGCAGCCUGCAGCUGGGAGAUUUGAAGUCAGACUUCCAGGAUUGCCGCAUGGAGCUGCAGAGGGAGUGAGCAUGGGGCUGGAGGACCUGCCCCGCCGGCUGACACUCCCGCAGCAAGGCGGGCCCGCCAAGGAAGCACUCCACAUCCGCUAGGUAGGGUUUGUCUACAUCUUUUUAGUUCUUCAGUUUAAGUCCUGCCUGGGAAGAAAGCAAACUCCAGAGGCAAAUCUGGAAUGCCUGUGUGCCACCUUCUCACCGCACCACAGACUCCCGAGGACGGGUUGUGGCGGGGUUGGCCCCAAGCAUGGGAGGCAGCGCAGACAUGCAGAAUGGGGUCUGAGGUCACGUUGCAACGCUGGCAGGAUGUGUGCUCAAGGGCCAGUCUCUGCAGGGGUCAGGGCGUGUGGGCCACGCACAAGGAGCUGGCACUAAGCCGCUUAGGCUGCAGGAAGACACCAUCUGCCUGGGGCGGACAAGGCCCCAUGUCCGUCCUCAAGGAGGCUGGUCUGGAUGAGAAGGGUCACAGUCUGGCCAGGAGUGACACCGUGCCC
rnacentral:sRNA from 1 species